rnacentral:rRNA from 1 species
UACGUAGGGGGCGAGCGUUGUCCGGAGUUACUGGGCGUAAAGCGCUUGUAGGCGGUCCACCAAGUUUGGGGUGACAGUUGCCGACUUAAUCGGCAAAGUGCCUCAAAGACUGGCGGACUUGAGGGCCACAGAGGGACAUGGAACUCCAGGUGUAGUGGUGAAUGCGUAGAUAUCUGGAAGAACACCAAAGGCGAAGGCAGUGUCCUGGGUGGUCGCUGACGCUGAGAGGCGAAAGCCAGGGGAGCGAACGGG